AUUAAGAGAAGCCUAACAAAUUCUUUUGCAUCUGAGAUCGGCAAAUGAUAAACUUCAAGCUAAUUCUGCAGAAGCGUUGCAUAAGUUGGAAGGAGAGAACAGAGAACUAUUAUCUGCUUUAGAUGAGGC